GACGAACCGAGCGAACGUUGUUCGGAAUCACUGGGCUUAAAGGGCGCGUAGGCGGGUGCUCAAGUCCGGGGUGAAAUCCCACAGCUCAACUGUGGAACUGCCUCGGAUACUGGGCGUCUCGAGGGUGGCAGGGGUAUGCGGAACUAUCGGUGGAGCGGUGAAAUGCGUUGAUAUCGAUAGGAACUCCGGUGGCGAAGGCGGCAUACUGGUCCACUUCUGACGCUGAGGCGCGAAAGCCAGGGGGAGCAAACGGG
rnacentral:rRNA from 1 species